UUGACCCUGUGGCCAGCCCAGAACUUCAAACACAGCCAGUCCAGCGGGUUUUCUCAGAGUCUCAGAGUGAUUCAGUGUCGUACAGAAGAGCCCUGAGAAGCUGAGCUCCUGUCUAGUCCCAGAGCCUUACACUAAAUCCCCCUACUGACUGUAUCCUUGACUUGUGCAAGACUGCUGGGUGAGGCAUCAUGAACUGGUUCCUCAGUUCACACCGUCACGACUGUGGUCACCAGUGUGCUAGUAAGUGCUAUAUGGAUAAACCCCAAGAGGCCAGUUGCCCAGUCCUAGAUGUCCAUAGUGGUACCUACCUGUAAUCCCAGAACUUGGCAAUCGGAGGCUAGCUCAAGGCCAUCCUUGUCUGUAUAACAAGCUUUUGGACAGCCUGGUUACUUGAGAAAUUGUCUAAAAACUAAAACAAAAGCCUCCUCGUUCACCCCCUCUAACUUGGUGAAGUUCAGGGAGGACAAGUGGUGGGCCCAAGGUCACAUCACGGGAGAGUGGAAGAGCCCAGCCUCAAGCCCAGGAUAGAUAGCUUUUCAGGGCUUUGGUACACUCCUCUGCAGUGAGGCUGGAGGUAUAAAGUGCAGUGUUUCCAGUAGGAGCCAACCCUACAGGUUUCGCAUGGCAAUAGGACCUGUUAUCAGCUCUCCACAUUCCCAGAGCAAUGGGUUUCCGGUUCAUCUCCUAGUCAAGCCAUUGUCUGGAGAAAGGAUGGUGGCGUCAUCUGUGGUGUGGCCUCCAGGCUGCGUGCUUUGAGACCGCCACUCCCUCCAGUCUCCUAGAUUGCACAAAGAUGGAAACGGAGCUUUAGCGGCAAGGUGACUCUCCAGCUUGUAAGUGCCUUAAAACCCCAGGGCUCUGGCACCACAUGGUUCUUACUUAUCCUGUGUUAGAAGUGCCAGCAGGCAGAUGCAGGCCAGAGGUGAACAAUUCAGGCUCUCGUUUGCUGACUUGCAAAGACUAUUUAUAUCCUGGUCCCAAAACUCAUUGUUCACAUUUGGAAGGAUUCCCACCCUGGGUCCCUAACAAGCAAUUCCUGUGGAUAUAGGCUGGGCAUAGGCAAGAAUAGGACAGAGAGGUUGGAGAUGGAGACAGAUCUGAAGCCAGCCAGGAAGGCGUUAGCAGGGUAGAGACUAGAGAAAGCCAAACCCAGGGGGACAUUGUCACUGGGACUGCAGGAGCAGACACAGGAACAUAAUAAACAAUUCCUCUUAGUGAGGCACCGUUGGACUGUGGACGGCCCAGUGGAUGGGGACAUUCUCCACUCCAGAUGUUCAGUUAGAUGAUGUCCCAUGCUCACUCACAAGAACAGCAGGUGUGAAGGAGCCCCUGCCUGGUGUCCAGAGACAUGAUUGGAUAGUGGUAGAGUAGAGACAGUUUGGUUAUUGUUUGAAAGACUUAGUGUUUUAAAUUAUGCAUGUAUGUGUGUCUGUGUGGGGCUAUAUUCACAUGAGGUGCAGGUGCCCAAGGAGGCUAGAAUAGGAAGUCAGAAACCCUGAAGUUCAUAGGCAGUUGUGAGCUACCCAGAGCAGAGGCUGGGAAUCCAUCCUGCAAACACAGAAGUAUGUACUCUUAACCACAGGCGCCUCUCCUGGUCCACAGAGACAGUUAUUAAUAAGACCAUUCUCAGGCCAUGCAUGAUGGCAAACACCUUUAAUCCCAGCACUUGGAAGGAAGGAGGAUCUCUGGGAGUUCAAGGCCAGCAUGGUCUAGUCCAGCCAGGGCCACAAAGUGAGACCCAGUCUCAACAAACAAACAAGCAAAAAACCAACAACCAAAAGCAAAACACAGAUCUUGCUGCACGGAACUGGAAGGAGAAGCCUGGUUGUGGAGGCACGUCUUCCAGGGAAAGGCAGCCUGUCACCAGAGCCAGGAAGCCAUGGAACCUAACAUCCCGUGGCUCCAUUCAGCCUUGGUCUGACCAGCGCAGAGUGGGUAACCCCCAGCGGUCCUUGAACAAGUCUGCUUUUCAUUCACUAGAGCUCUAUUUGGUUUAUAAUCAUCCUCACUACAAAGACUGCACACACGGAAGCUCUCAGUGAAGAUUAGCUGCUUAGCACUUGGCACAGUAACCGAUGCUCAACCCCAGUGAUUCCAAAGAUUUCCUGACUGGAGUCCCCAGGGUUUGUCCGAUAGCCAGGUCUUACCCCAUGGGAAUUCUUGUUCACUCUAGAUCGGGACCUGGAAAACCCAGGACUCAAGGUUCUACCAAAGUAGCCUUGCCAUGAGGGAUGUUUGGAGAAUGGUGUAUUAAACUGAAUACUCCCAGUGACCUGGAGAGAAAAGUUUGAUCGUACCACAUUCAUUCAGUUAAGGGCAGUGAGACUCAGAGACAUUGAAUGAUCUAAUUAAUUUGUCACACAGCCCACAAGUAGCAGAGUUGAGUUUCAAACCUGGGUCAACAUAAUUUUCAUAGCUCCUGUAGAGAGUAGGUGAAAGCAACUGCCUGUAUGCCUCAAGAUUCGGAGAUACUAGAAAAAAGCAAGGGGAAAUAGAGAGUGAAAACUAUUUUUUUAAAGUGAUGUGAUAGCAAGAUGAUUCAGAGGGUAAAGGCAUUUGCUGCCAAACCUGGAAUCCUCAUGGUUGGAGGUACGAACCAACUGUGAGGGCUAAAGUUAAGUUUAAAUUACCAAGCCUAAGAAAUCUUGGGCUGGAGAGAUGGCUCAUCGAUUAAGAGCAUUGACUGCUCUUCCUGAAGGUCCUGAGUUCAAAUCCCAGCAGCCACACGAUACUUCACAAACCAUCUGUAAUGAGAACAGAUGCCCUCUUCUGGUGUGUCUGAAGUCAGCUACAGUGUACUUACAUAUAAUAAAAUAAAUAUAUCUAAAAAAGCAAAACAGCUGGGUGUGGUGGCGCACGCCUUUAAUCCCAGCACUUGGGAGGCAGAGGCAGGUGGAUUUCUGAGUUCGAGGCCAGCCUGGUCUACAGAGUGAGUUCCAGGACAGCCAGGGCUAUACAGAGAAACCCUGUCUCGAAAAAAAACAAAAACCAAACAAACAAAAAAAGCAAAACAAGCAAACAAAAAACCUAGCCAGCACAGACAGAGUCACUUCAGGAGCUGAUGAUUUGCUGUUUGCUUAUCAAAACUUUCUUCAAAAUAGUCAUUAUCCACUCAAGGUCACCUAGCCAGAAAGGUGCAUGUGUCUUACGUUCUCAGGGCUAGCGUGGCUUACGGUUGAACACAGCAAGAUUCGUCUUGACUAAUUUCACACUUUCCCUCAAGGACUCAAGCUCUCAGACCCAACACAGUUCUCUCUCUCAUCUCUGCAACUCUCUCUGCUUUCCAAACCAGUGACACAGUAUUCCCAUUAUCCCUGGGGACAGAUGUCUCAUAACAAACAUGUUCUAAAACUCAAGUACGAAACUCAAGAAUGAGCCUCUUGCUGCUUGCAGAGAUGCUGCUGUCUGUUUCCAAGCAUCAACAGUCGUGUCUGGGGCUUUAAAAAUCAGUAGGAAGAUCCACUUCAAAUCCAGAUCUUGAGGGGGAAGAUAACGAUACACAUCUUUAACCUGGGCCAUACUUUCUGUUGGAAGUCCGUAUACGGUCAUGGAAGAACGCCGCUUUUGCUCUUUGCCUGCUUGCUCUCACCUUGUUGGCAAGUCCAUCUCCCCCUUGGCAUGAGAUCCUGCUUCUUCAAGAUUCCAGUGUACACUGAAGACUAGCCGAGGCAUCCAGCCCCAUGGACUGGGCAACUUCUAGAUUCUUGGACUUUCAGUUCACAGCCCACCAUUGUUGGAUUAGCUGGACUGGAGCCUGUAAGUCAUUGCAAUAAAUCCCCUUUGUAUAUAUA